GAAUCCCUGCGAUCGGACGCGAUUUCGAUCGAAUAAUCUUGAACCUUUAGCAUUAAAUAAGGGAGCCUAACUAAGUGUACGCCUCGGCGUAUGCGCGAGGGCACCCACCUGUUAUAAACAGGAUCAAGAUAAUUCAUAUCUCAACGCCGAUUGCGGGGAUUUU
rnacentral:other from 1 species